GACGAACGCUGGCGGCGUGCCUAAUACAUGCAAGUCGAGCGAGCUUGCCUAGAUGAAUUUGGUGCUUGCACCAAAUGAAACUAGAUACAAGCGAGCGGCGGACGGGUGAGUAACACGUGGGUAACCUGCCCAAGAGACUGGGAUAACACCUGGAAACAGAUGCUAAUACCGGAUAACAACACUAGACGCAUGUCUAGAGUUUAAAAGAUGGUUCUGCUAUCACUCUUGGAUGGACCUGCGGUGCAUUAGCUAGUUGGUAAGGUAACGGCUUACCAAGGCAAUGAUGCAUAGCCGAGUUGAGAGACUGAUCGGCCACAUUGGGACUGAGACACGGCCCAAACUCCUACGGGAGGCAGCAGUAGGGAAUCUUCCACAAUGGACGCAAGUCUGAUGGAGCAACGCCGCGUGAGUGAAGAAGGGUUUCGGCUCGUAAAGCUCUGUUGGUAGUGAAGAAAGAUAGAGGUAGUAACUGGCCUUUAUUUGACGGUAAUUACUUAGAAAGUCACGGCUAACUACGUGCCAGCAGCCGCGGUAAUACGUAGGUGGCAAGCGUUGUCCGGAUUUAUUGGGCGUAAAGCGAGUGCAGGCGGUUCAAUAAGUCUGAUGUGAAAGCCUUCGGCUCAACCGGAGAAUUGCAUCAGAAACUGUUGAACUUGAGUGCAGAAGAGGAGAGUGGAACUCCAUGUGUAGCGGUGGAAUGCGUAGAUAUAUGGAAGAACACCAGUGGCGAAGGCGGUUCUCUGGUCUGCAACUGACGCUGAGGCUCGAAAGCAUGGGUAGCGAACAGG
rnacentral:rRNA from 1 species